rnacentral:rRNA from 1 species
AUUGAACGCUGGCGGCAUGCCUUACACAUGCAAGUCGAACGGCAGCACGGGUGCUUGCACCUGGUGGCGAGUGGCGAACGGGUGAGUAACACAUCGGAACGUACCUUAUCGUGGGGGAUAACGCAGCGAAAGCUGUGCUAAUACCGCAUACGCCCUGAGGGGGAAAGCGGGGGAUCGAAAGACCUCGCGCGAUUAGAGCGGCCGAUGCCUGAUUAGCUUGUUGGUGGGGUAAAAGCCCACCAAGGCGACGAUCAGUAGCUGGUCUGAGAGGACGAUCAGCCACACUGGGACUGAGACACGGCCCAGACUCCUACGGGAGGCAGCAGUGGGGAAUUUUGGACAAUGGGGGCAACCCUGAUCCAGCAAUGCCGCGUGAGUGAAGAAGGCCUUCGGGUUGUAAAGCUCUUUUGUCAGGGAAGAAACAGCAGCUCUAACACAGUUUGCGAAUGACGGUACCUGAAGAAUAAGCACCGGCUAACUACGUGCCAGCCGCCGCGGUAA